AUGGUGAAGAACUUCCGCAAGCGAAGCCUCGAGUCGGACGCCGCCGACAACUCCGACGACGAGGACACCCGCCGCGUUGCUCUGGAGGAGAUCAGGUACAUGCAGAAGCUCCGGGAGAGGAAGCUGCCGGCGGCGUCCGUAGCCACCGGCGCCGCCGCCUCCGCCACCACCGACGGGUCCACCGCUCGGGGCCGAGGUGGAAGCGGGGCAGGGGCAGCGGGCGAGGAGGACCUCGUGCUUCAGGACACCUUUGCGCAGGAGACCGCUGUUACCAUCGAAGACCCCAAUAUGUUGAGGUAUGUGGAGAACGAGCUGUUGAAGAAGAGGGGCAAGACGAUCGAGGUCAACGACAAGGACGAUAAGGACGAGGUGGAUGAGCUCUAUGUUGUGCCGGACCACCUGAAGGCGAGGAAGAAGAACAUGGAGGAGAGCUCAACCCAGUGGACCACCGGCAUCGCUGAAGUUCAGCUGCCCAUCGAGUAUAAAUUGAGAAAUAUUGAAGAAACCGAGGCAGCCAAAAAAUUGCUGCAGGAGAGAAGGCUUGCUGGUAAAACAAAAUCAGAUGCAAACAUUCCAUCAAGUUACAGUGCUGAUUAUUUCCAUCGUGGGAGAGAUUAUGCUGAAAAAUUGCGAAGAGAACAUCCUGAGUUGUACAAAGGUCAAGAUUCACAAGCUAAUGAAAAUGGAGGCAAACCAACAGAUGGUAACAAUCCAGGUGGUCCACCUGCAGGACGUAGAGAAGCUGCUACCGAUGAAUUGUUGCUCGAGCGUUUCCGCAAGCGAGAAAAAUUCCGUGUCAUGCGGAGAUAG
rnacentral:rRNA from 1 species